rnacentral:rRNA from 1 species
UACGUAGGGGGGCAAGCGUUGUCCGGAAUCAUUGGGCGUAAAGCGCGCGUAGGCGGCUCGAUCAGUCUGCUGUGAAAGUCAAAAGGCUCAACCUUUUGAAUGCCGGUGGAUACUGUCGAGCUAGAGUCCGGAAGAGGCGAGUGGAAUUCCUGGUGUAGCGGUGGAAUGCGCAGAUAUCAGGAGGAACACCAACGGCGAAGGCAGCUCGCUGGGACGGUACUGACGCUAAGGCGCGAAAGCGUGGGGAGCGAACAGG